rnacentral:rRNA from 1 species
GUCCACGCCGUAAACGUUGGGUACUAGGUGUGGCGUCCCGAUCAACGGAUGCCGUGCCGAAGCUAACGCAUUAAGUACCCCGCCUGGGGAGUACGGCCGCAAGGCUAAAACUCAAAGGAAUUGACGGGUCCCCGCACAAGCGGCGGAGCAUGCGGCUUAAUUCGAUGCAACCCGAAGAACCUUACCUGGACUUGACAUCAUGGGAAAAGCCGUAGAAAUACGGUGUCCGUAAGGGCCCAUGACAGGUGGUGCAUGGCUGUCGU